rnacentral:lncRNA from 1 species
ACCAGAUUUGGAAUGUCAAAAAGCAGAGUGUCUAUUUGAUGAAUUUGAGGAAAUCUGGAACUUUGGGCCACCCAGGAGUGGUGUCUUAACUGUCAAACUGGGUGGAGAUCUAGGAACCUAUGUGAUCAACAAGCAGACGCCAAACAAGCAAAUCUGGCUAUCUUCUCCAUCCAGUGGACCUAAGCGUUAUGACUGGACUGGGAAAAACUGGGUGUACUCCCACGACGGCGUGUCCCUCCAUGAGCUGCUGGCCGCAGAGCUCACUAAAGCCUUAAAAACCAAACUGGACUUGUCUUCCUUGGCCUAUUCCGGAAAAGAUGCUUGAUGCCCAGCCCCGUUUUAAGGACAUUAAAAGCUAU